rnacentral:lncRNA from 1 species
AUUGCUAUUGUUAAAAAAAGCCUAAUAUUAGUUAAACUACUUUUGUAAACUAUAUAUCGGUUGAUGCACGAAUCACACAAGUACGGAAAUAUGGAUCUCUAGGAAAGUAAAAAGAAUCUCCUUUAUAAAACGAACCCAAACAAGCUUGAACAGGCGAAUUACAAGAAACGAUCUCGAUGUGAAAAGACUGAGUAAAGUUUGAAGACGAACUGAAUGUCAGAGGAGACGAGGCGAUUUCUUGCGACCUAGGGGUGUUGUGACGAUCAUGUAGCGCUUAUGGACGAUCUCAAGAGAUUCCGGACGAUCUCAGUGUACUCUCUGCGUGUCAGCGUUAUUUUCGGACGGAUGUGACAGGAUCUUACGCCUCGUAUUUAUAGUGUACAGUGUAGGGUGUCUUUUGGAGGAUUUUGUUGAAUCUUCCCUUCGACCCGAUGACAUGUCCUCGUUGACAGGCGGUUAUCUCGAGUGGGCGGCCUAGUUUUCUGGGCUUCUGUUUCGAGACUAUUCUCUUCCAAAUGGGUUUGGGUUUUGGACAUUUGGGCUUUUGGGCCGAAAUUGGGAUGCCCAAUUUCUCCCUUAACACUUACUAGUUUAAGGCGUCGAUUUUCAAAAAAACAAAACUAGUUUACUAAAAAAGUAAAAAUACAUAUAUAUUUUUUUCUGUCAAAAUCGAAUUAUAUUGCAUUAUCAAGGUCCAUAUAUAAUAUUGGUUCA